rnacentral:rRNA from 1 species
UUCGAAAGAAGGGGGUGCCCGCAAGGGAGCGCGGAGACAGGUGGUGCAUGGCUGUCAUCAGCUCGUGUCGUGAGAUGUUGGGUUAAGUCCCGCAACGAGCGCAACCCUCACCUCUUGUUGCCAUCAGGUCAUGCUGGGCACUCUAGAGGAACUGCCCCGGUCAACGGGGAGGAAGGCGGGGAUGACGUCAAGUCAUCAUGCCCCUUACGUCCUGGGCUACACACGUGCUACAAUGGCCGGUACAAAGGGAUGCCACACCGCGAGGUAGAGCUAAACCCAAAAAGCCGGUCUAAGUUCAGAUUGGAGUCUGCAACUCGACUCCAUGAAGGAGGAAUCGCUAGUAAUCACGUAUCAGCACGACGCGGUGAAUACGUUCCCGGGCCUUGUACACACCGCCCGUCACACCACGAAAGCCCG